rnacentral:rRNA from 1 species
CCUACGGGGUGCAGCAGUGGGGAAUAUUGGGCAAUGGGCGCAAGCCUGACCCAGCCACGCCGCGUGAAGGAAGAAGGCUUUCGGGUUGUAAACUUCUUUUCUCAGGGACGAAGCAAGUGACGGUACCUGAGGAAUAAGCCUCGGCUAACUACGUGCCAGCAGCCGCGGUAAUACGUAGGUGGCAAGCGUUAUCCGGAUGUACUGGGUGUAAAGGGCGUGUAGGCGGGACUGCAAGUCAGAUGUGAAAACCACGGGCUCAACCUGUGGACUGCAUUUGCCACUGUAUUUCUUGAGUACUGGAGAGGCAGGCGGAAUGCGUGGUGUAGCGGUGAAAUGCGUAGAUAUUAGGAGGAACACCGGUGGCGAAGGCGGUCUGCUGGACAGCAACUGACGCUGAGGCGCGAAAGCGUGGGGAGCAAACAGGAUUAGAUACCCUGGUAGUU